UACGGAGGGUGCGAGCGUUAAUCGGAAUUACUGGGCGUAAAGGGUGCGUAGGUGGUUGUUUAAGUUAGUUUUGAAAUUCCUGGGCUUAACCUGGGCUGGAGGACUAAUACUGAGUGACUAGAGUAUAGGAGAGGGUAGUGGAAUUUCCGGUGUAGCGGUGAAAUGCGUAGAGAUCGGAAGGAACACCAGUGGCGAAGGCGGCUACCUGGCCAGAUACUGACACUGAGGCACGAAAGCGUGGGGAGCAAACAGGAUUAGAUACCCUGGUAGUCCACGCUGUAAACGAUGUCAACUAGCCGUUGGUCAUAUAGAUGUGAUUAGUGGCGCAGCAAACGCGAUAAGUUGACCGCCUGGGGAGUACGGUCGCAAGAUUA
rnacentral:rRNA from 1 species